rnacentral:rRNA from 1 species
GAUGAGCGCUGGCGGCGUGCCUAAUACAUGCAAGUCGAGCGAACAGACGAGGAGCUUGCUCCUCUGACGUUAGCGGCGGACGGGUGAGUAACACGUGGAUACCCUACCUAUAAGACUGGGAUAACUUCGGGAAACCGGAGCUAAUACCGGAUAAUAUAUUGAACCGCAUGGUUCAAUAGUGAAAGACGGUUUUGCUGUCACUUAUAGAUGGAUCCGCGCCGCAUUAGCUAGUUGGUAAGGUAACAGCUUACCAAGGCAACGAUGCGUAGCCGACCUGAGAGGGUGAUCGGCCACACUGGAACGGAGACAGGGUCAAGGCGCCUGCGGGAGGCAGCAGUAGGGAAUCUUACGCAGUGGGCGAAAGCCUGGCGGAGUGACGCGGCGUGAGUGAUGAAGGUCUUCGGAGCGUAAAACUCUGUUAUUAGGGAAGAACAAAUGUGUAAGGAACUAUGCAAGUCUUGACGGUAACGAGUCAGAAAGCCACGGCUAACUACGUG